ACGCUGGCGGCAGGCCUAACACAUGCAAGUCGAACGGUAACAUUUCUAGCUUGCUAGAAGAUGACGAGUGGCGGACGGGUGAGUAAUGCUUGGGAACUUGCCUUUGCGAGGGGGAUAACAGUUGGAAACGACUGCUAAUACCGCAUAAUGUCUACGGACCAAACGGGGCUUAGGCUCCGGCGCAAAGAGAGGCCCAAGUGAGAUUAGCUAGUUGGUAAGGUAAAGGCUUACCAAGGCGACGAUCUCUAGCUGUUCUGAGAGGAAGAUCAGCCACACUGGGACUGAGACACGGCCCAGACUCCUACGGGAGGCAGCAGUGGGGAAUAUUGCACAAUGGGGGAAACCCUGAUGCAGCCAUGCCGCGUGUGUGAAGAAGGCCUUCGGGUUGUAAAGCACUUUCAGUUGUGAGGAAAAGUUAGUAGUUAAUACCUGCUAGCCGUGACGUUAACAACAGAAGAAGCACCGGCUAACUCCGUGCCAGCAGCCGCGGUAAUACGGAGGGUGCGAGCGUUAAUCGGAAUUACUGGGCGUAAAGCGCACGCAGGCGGUUUGUUAAGCUAAAUGUGAAAGCCCCGGGCUCAACCUGGGAUGGUCAUU
rnacentral:rRNA from 1 species